rnacentral:rRNA from 1 species
AUACGGAGGGUCCGAGCGUUAUCUGGAAUCAUUGGGUUUAAAGGGUCCGUAGGCGGGAAUCUAAGUCAGUGGUGAAAUCUUGCAGCUCAACUGUAAAAUUGCCAUUGAUACUGGAUUUCUUGAAUUAGUGUGAAGUGGUUAGAAUGUGUAGUGUAGCGGUGAAAUGCAUAGAUAUUACACAGAAUACCAAUUGCGAAGGCAGAUCACUAACACUAUAUUGACGCUAAGGGACGAAAGCGUGGGGAGCGAACAGGAUUAGAUACCCUAGUAGUCC